AUAGUGGUUUAAUUCGUACGAUACGCGAAGAACCUUACCUGGCCUUGACAUACUAAAAAGACUUUAAGUAGAUUAGAGUGUGCUAGCUUGCUAGAAUUUAGAUACAGGUGCUGCACGGCUGUCGUCAGCUCGUGUCGUGAGAUGUUGGGUUAAGUCCCGCAACGAGCGCAACCCUUGCCUUUAGUUGCCAGCAGUUCGGCUGGGCACUCUAAAGGGACUGCCGGUGUUAAACCGGAGGAAGGUGGGGAUGACGUCAAGUCCUCAUGGCCUUUAUGACCAGGGCUACACACGUACUACAAUGGCCGAUACAAAGGGCAGCGACACUGCGAGGUGAAGCCAAUCCCGUAAAAUCGGUCUCAGUCCGGAUUGGAGUCUGCAACUCGACUCCAUGAAGUUGGAAUCGCUAGUAAUCGUGGAUCAGCAUGCCACGGUGAAUACGUUCCCGGGCCUU
rnacentral:rRNA from 1 species